rnacentral:rRNA from 1 species
AGAGUUGAUCAUGGCUCAGGACGAACGCUGGCGGCGUGCCUAACACAUGCAAGUCGAGCGAGGAGAUUCCUUCGGGAUGAUCCUAGCGGCGGACGGGUGAGUAACACGUGGGCAACCUGCCUCAUAGAGAGGAAUAGCCUUCCGAAAGGAAGAUUAAUACCUCAUAACAUUGCAGUUUCGCAUGGAACAGCAAUUAAAGGAGCAAUCCGCUAUGAGAUGGGCCCGCGGCGCAUUAGCUAGUUGGUGAGGUAACGGCUCACCAAGGCGACGAUGCGUAGCCGACCUGAGAGGGUGAUCGGCCACAUUGGGACUGAGACACGGCCCAGACUCCUACGGGAGGCAGCAGUGGGGAAUAUUGCACAAUGGGGGAAACCCUGAUGCCAGCAACGCCGCGUGAGUGAUGACGGCCUUCGGGUUGUAAAGCUCUGUCUUCAGGGACGAUAAUGACGGUACCUGAGGAGGAAGCCACGGCUAACUACGUGCCAGCCGCGGC